rnacentral:rRNA from 1 species
UACGUAGGGGGCCAGCGUUGUCCGGAUUUACUGGGCGUAAAGAGCGUGUAGGCGGCCAAACAGGUCCGUUGUGAAAACUGGAGGCUCAACCUCCAGACGUCGACGGAAACCGUGCGGCUAGAGUCCGGAAGAGGAGAGUGGAAUUCCUGGUGUAGCGGUGAAAUGCGCAGAUAUCAGGAAGAACACCAAUGGCGAAGGCAGCUCUCUGGGACGGUACUGACGCUGAGACGCGAAAGCGUGGGGAGCGAACAGG